UACGUAGGGUCCAAGCGCUAUCCGGAAUCAUUGGGCGUAAAGAGCUCGUAGGCGGUUCAGCAAGUCGGCUGUGAAAGUCCGAGGCUCAACCUCGGAAUUGCAGUCGAUACUGCCAUGACUUGAGUCCGGUAGGGGAGUAUGGAAUUUCCGGUGUAGCGGUGAAAUGCGCAGAUAUCGAGAGGAACACCAGUAGCGAAGGCGGUUCUCUGGGCCGGCACUGACGCUGAGGAGCGAAAGCGUGGGGAGCAAACAGG
rnacentral:misc_RNA from 1 species